ACAUUGGUGAUUCAUUGGUAGAAUUCUCACCUUCCAUGCAGAAGACCUUGGUUUGAUUCCCAGUCAAUGUA
rnacentral:tRNA from 1 species